UACAGAGGGGGCAAGCGUUGUUCGGAAUUACUGGGGGUAAAGGGCGCGUAGGCGGCCUUCUAAGUCGAACGUGAAAUCCCCGGGCUCAACCCGGGAACUGCGUCCGAUACUGGAAGGCUUGAAUCCGGGAGAGGGAUGCGGAAUUCCAGGUGUAGCGGUGAAAUGCGUAGAUAUCUGGAGGAACACCGGUGGCGAAGGCGGCAUCCUGGACCGGCAUUGACGCUGAGGCGCGAAAGCCAGGGGAGCAAACGGG
rnacentral:rRNA from 1 species